rnacentral:rRNA from 1 species
GGGGGGGGGGCAAGCGUUGUUCGGAAUUACUGGGGCGUAAAGGGCGCGCAGGCGGCCUGGCCAGUCCUACGUGAAAUCCCACAGCUCAACUGUGGAACUGCGAGGGAUACUGCCAGGCUUGAGUCCGGGAGAGGAGAGUGGAAUUCCCAGUGUAGCGGUGAAAUGCGUAGAUAUUGGGAGGAACACCGGUGGCGAAGGCGGCUCUCUGGACCGGCACUGACGCUGAGGCGCGAAAGCUAGGGGAGCAAACGGGAUUAGAUACCCCGGUAGUCCUAGCCCUAAACGAUGAGCACUUUGUGUGGCGGGUAUCGACCCCUGCCGUGCAGAAGCUAACGCAUUAAGUGCUCCGCCUGGGGAGUACGGUCGCAAGGCUA